AUCCAGCUGACGAAUUCCAAGUAGGAUGAAACACGUGUCAAACUAGAU
rfam:Schistosoma curassoni strain Dakar, Senegal genome assembly, scaffold: SCTD_scaffold0002858